CAGUCCUUCCCAUUUCUCCUAAAGGAGGGCAUCCAGAGAGUGAUAGUGAAGGAGAAAUAGAGGAGGAGCACUGAACCUUCCCCGAACCCUAGAUUAUGGAUAAAGAGAAAUCCAACAAACGCACCCGAGAGGACAGAGACCGAGAACACAAGCAUCACCGAAGCCGAGACCGAGACGAGAAGUACCAUGACUCGGAUCACCAUCACCAUCACCAUCACCAUCGAUCGGAGCACAAAUCAUCCAAGCGCGAAGAUCGGGAAAGCUCUCACGAUUAUGAAACCAAGACCGAGAAAUCGUACGAUCACAGAGACGAUAGAGAAGAGAGCAGGGAUAGGGGUUACGUCAGGGAAUCGAAGAGAGAGAGAUCUCACGAGCCGCGGAAUGAGCGAGAGGGGAGCAGAGAUAGGGUUCGGGAUAAGGAAUCAAGGCGAGAGAGAUCUCACGAGCCGAGGAACGAGAGAGAAGGGAGCAGAGACAGGGAGCUGAAGCGAGAGGAGAGAGAGGGGAGCAGAUAUAGAGCGAAGAGUCGGGAGGUGAAGCGCGAGGACUCUUACGAGGAGAGGGAGAGAGAAAACGAAAAUGUAUCGAGGAACAAGAGAAAAGAUAGGGAAGAGAAUGAGGGGCGAGAUGGGGAAAAGAAGGCUAAGGUUUCGGAGGAGAGGAGAGAGAGGAGGAGGUUUGAGGAUAAGGUGAAGGAAGAGGUGGACGCUGGGGUUGUUGAAGAUGUGAAGAAGGAAGUCAAGGUAAAGGAAGAGGUGAAUUACCAUGACGGGGACGUUAAUAGCGGUGGUUCAGUUAGGAAUGGUGCUGCUCAAAACUCGGCCACUAUGGCAUCAAGGACUGUGCCUGAAAACUCUUUGGUCCCCGGUCACCCUCUUCCUACCAAGGUAUCUUCAAUUUCUACCACAAAUGAAAAUAGGGGAGUUAGUAUUACCAGAUCUCAUGAGGUUCCUGGAAAAUCUAGUACAGAUGGGUCAUCUUCAACUGCUGGAAAAAGUAGUGGGAAUCUGUCGCUUGAUGCUUUAGCAAAAGCUAAGAAAGCUUUGCAGAUGCAGAAGGAAUUGUCAGAGAAGCUGAAGAAGAUACCAUUGCUGAACAAGGGUGCUGGUUCAACAUCAGAUGUUAGCCCACAUGCAGGAUUGAAGGAGGGAGCAAAAUUAGUAUCUUCUAGUUCUGGAACAGUGCAGGGAUCAGUCCCAUCAAUGACUCCCACUUCUGCCAUUUCUGCUGGCUCUACAUCAAGUUCAGUCUUACCUUCUAUUGCUGCAGCCUCUUUAAAGCCUCCUGUAAAUGCCCCUGGUCUUGCUGGUCUUAGUACUAUCCCCAACGUUGAAGCUGUUAAACGUGCGCAGGAGCUGGCUGCUAAGAUGGGAUUUCGCCAGGAUCCUGAGUUUGCCCCUCUCAUCAACUUGUUCCCAGGACAGGUACCGACGGAAGUUGUCGUUCCACAGAAGCCUACCAAGGCCCCUGUUCUUCGUGUUGAUGCCCUUGGUAGGGAAAUAGAUGAACAUGGAAAUGUAGUGAAUUUGACUAAACCAAGCAAUCUUAGCACCUUGAAGGUCAACAUCAACAAGCAGAAGAAAGAGGCAUUUCAAAUUCUAAAACCUGAGCUUGAUAUUGAUCCAGAGUCAAAUCCUCACUUUGAUGCAAGGAUGGGUAUCAACAAAAAUAAGAUUUUGAGACCGAAACGGAUGACUUUCCAGUUUGUAGAGGAAGGGAAAUGGUCAAAAGAGGCUGAGAUAAUUAAACUGAAGAGUCAAUUUGGCGAAGCAGGAGCAAAGGAGCUAAAAGCCAAGCAAGCACAGCUGGCAAAGGCAAAGGCUGAUAUAAAUCCAAAUUUGAUUGAGGUGUCAGAGCGGAUCAUAACCAAGGAAAAGCCAAAGGAUCUUAUUCCUGAAAUAGAGUGGUGGGACAUGCCUCUUUUGGUUACUGGGUCUUAUGGUGGCGUAGCUGAUGGUGGCAUAACUGAUGAUAAACUGAAGAUGGAGAAGAUUACCAUCUAUGUUGAACAUCCUCGUCCAAUCGAACCCCCUGCUGAGCCGGCUCCACCACCACCUCAACCUCUUAAGCUAACCAAGAAAGAGCAGAAAAAACUGCGAACCCAGCGGCGACUAGCUAGGGAAAAAGACAAACAGGAAAUGAUCAGACAAGGCCUGAUUGAACCCCCGAAACCAAAGGUUAAAAUGAGUAACUUAAUGAAAGUUCUUGGCUCUGAAGCAACACAAGAUCCUACUAGACUUGAAAAGGAAAUUCGUACAGCUGCUGCUGAACGUGAGCAAGCACACAUUGACAGGAAUACUGCACGCAAGCUCACUCCUGCCGAGCGCCGUGAAAAGAAAGAGAGAAAGCUUUUUGAUGAUUCAAAUACACUUGAGACAAUUGUGUCAGUUUACAAGAUAAAUGAUCUUUCACAUCCAAAGGCACGUUAUAAAGUCGAUGUUAAUGCAAGAGAAAACCGAUUGACAGGAUGUGCAGUGAUCUCUGAGGAAGUUAGUGUUGUUGUUGUUGAAGGCGGAAGCAAAUCUAUUAAGAGGUACGGGAAGCUUAUGCUUAGGCGUAUCAACUGGGUAGAAUCUGUGAAAGAGGAAGAGGAAGGUGGUGAUGGAGAUGAGGAUAAACCUGUCAAUAAAUGUUUGUUAGUGUGGCAAGGUAGUGUUGCGAAGCAGUGUUUUAACAGGUUUUACAUCCACGAAUGUAUGACCGAAGCUGCUGCUAGGAAAGUUUUUGCGGAUGCUGGUGUUGGUCACUACUGGGAUCUCGCUGUUAACUUCUCAGAGGAUUAGAAGCAACUGGAGCUGAAUGCUUUCUUGAAAGAGUUCUGCUGCUACUAUUGGUUUAGCUUUUUUUCAAAUUGAGCUUCUGUGGUUUCAAUAUUUUGGUAAGCUAUGAAGAGUCAUAAAACCUGUAAAAGAAAAAAGAAACUACGUGGUGGUGCAUUUCGUUAUUGGGAUGUAUUAUGCAUUGGCACCUGUGAAUUUUUUCUAAUCCUUUGUUUCUGGAGCCUUCUGCUGAUGGGCUUUGGCAUAAACUUGCAUCAGCGGGAUGAGACUUGUUACUGAAUGCAACUUCCUAAGGCAUUUUUGGACCAGUAACAAGGGUGAGGUAGGAGAGUCGUAAAUCAAUUAGCUUGAAGACCGUUGAAUUACUUGAAAGUUAAGAUUGUUCUUAGCCGGCACCUCAAGUUUUGAGGUUUGAUUGAAAUUUGCUGUUGUCUUCCAAUUUUGUUUAUAUUGGGCGGGGUGCUUAUGUGGUAUAUACUCAUCUGGGUUUUGUUCAUAUAGUUAUGGUUCAGUUAAAUACCGUAUUGACUAACGUAGGUGGGUUUAAAUGGAUAGACAAGAGGAGAAAAACCUAUCUUGAAAUACAUAGUUGUCAAAAUGACUUUUAGUGCUCCAGAAAAAGAAUGUUGCUUAUAGUUACUGAGUUUGGAGAGGCCUUCACGAGGGAGGGAGAAACAAGAAGGAAGCUUCCACCAAAAUUACGUGCUUCAACUUUGUGAUUAAACUUGUCAAGAGUUUUGGAGAUACAGUGAUUCAAAGUUGGCAUUAUGGACCCAACAGUCUAAUCUUGGGGUAUGUUCUGUAAAAGUUCGUUAUUUCGUGGAACUUGAAUAUAUUCUUAGUUUAAUUAGGAA